ensembl:lncRNA
CAUUUUUUUCUCCAGUUAAUGAAUGGUUUGCAUGCCGUGAAGAUCCCACAGUCAGACAUCACUGUACACUAGCUGAUCAGCUCCUGCCUGGACUUGCCAUCACUGUCAUUUAAGGUUGUGUUAGCCCACGGAAGCAAGAGUACAUGUAUGCUGAAUAUAAGCAAAUGACAGAUUAUCUCUGUUAGAGUCCAUGGUGCUAAGGGACAGAGAAGCUCAGUCUCGAAGUUAAGUGUCAGAACAGAGAUAAGACAUUGAUCUUUUCUUCCUUGCUUUACAGAAUCAGAAGUAUGUAUGGAUAACGCCUGCUUUGUGGCACAGGAAAAUGGAACAGUAAAAAUAGACUUCUACGGUUGAAAGCUUUGCUGCAUGGAGGGAAAGGUAGGAGAAUAUUCUAUGAGACUUUCCAGCACAUUUGGAUUGAUAUUACUGUAACUAAAUGCACGCAACUGGGCUAUUUUUUAUCGCUGUCUACAAGCUGUUUAUGAAAUAAAAAGGUGUGGAGGAGUAAGACUACACAUAACAAAAAAACAUUGCUUCUCUUAUUAAUAUCUCAGCACAAUUUAAACCGUGUUUCUAAAGCAAA